rnacentral:ncRNA from 1 species
AGAUGCAGCUCUGAAGGGCUAGCCACCCACCCGUAUCGAGCCUUGGGCCCAUGGCGGAGUAUUGUAAGCGAUACGAACAAGAUGGGCUAAGCGUAGGCAGAGAAUCCUAUAGGCCGUAGGGGAGGUCGCGCUCCCUGAAGUGCUGGCACAGCUUCGAAAUAAACAAUCGUGGGUGCCGAGGGUCUCGGAAAUCACCGAAGGCAACACAGAAGCAUCCGAGGAAAAAGGCGAGGAUGUGAAGGCCCACCGGAGUCAUCAGGCC